CUUGCUUUACGGUUGAGUCGUCUGCUACCUGUAAGAAUUUAUUCUUUUUUAAAUUGUCUGACUGUGAAGAGGAAUCUGCUUGUUGCGGAGGACCUGGAUAUGCCUCACCACUUUCUGCCAUGCGGAGCGUGGCUAGGGAGACAUUGGUAUAUAUUCCCUGUAUCAUCCCACCAAGCAGACGGAAUGUUGAGCCAGAUUACCUGGUCACAGUAGAUGUUGACCCACAAUCACCAACUUACUGCAAGGUUAUCCACAGACUGCAUAUGCCAAAUGUGGCAGACGAACUUCAUCAUACAGGAUGGAAUGCAUGUUCCAGUUGUCAUGACGACCCGUCCAGAUCUAGAAACCGACUUAUUUUACCAUCAGUCAACAGCAACAUAAUAUAUGUGGUGGACACUGGGACCGAUCAAAGGAAACUCAACUAGACACGAGUAUUGAGCCAUGGGAGAUGACAGAAAAAUCAGGGAUGUCAGCUCCUCACACGACACAUUGUCUUGGUUCCGGUGAUAUAAUGAUUAGCUGUAUGGGAGAUCCGAAAGGAGACACAAAAGG